rnacentral:rRNA from 1 species
GACGAACGCUGGCGGCGUGCUUAACACAUGCAAGUCGAACGAAGAGCGAUGGAAGCUUGCUUCUAUCAAUCUUAGUGGCGAACGGGUGAGUAACGCGUAAUCAACCUGCCCUUCAGAGGGGGACAACAGUUGGAAACGACUGCUAAUACCGCAUACGAUCUAAUCUCGGCAUCGAGGAUGGAUGAAAGGUGGCCUCUAUGUAUAAGCUAUCACUGAAGGAGGGGAUUGCGUCUGAUUAGCUAGUUGGAGGGGUAACGGCCCACCAAGGCGAUGAUCAGUAGCCGGUCUGAGAGGAUGAACGGCCACAUUGGGACUGAGACACGGCCCAGACUCCUACGGGAGGCAGCAGUGGGGAAUCUUCCGCAAUGGACGAAAGUCUGACGGAGCAACGCCGCGUGAGUGAUGACGGCCUUCGGGUUGUAAAGCUCUGUUAAUCGGGACGAAAGGCCUUCUUGCGAAUAGUGAGAAGGAUUGACGGUACCGGAAUAGAAAGCCACGGCUAACUACGUGCCAGCAGCCGCGGUAAUACGUAGGUGGCAAGCGUUGUCCGGAAUUAUUGGGCGUAAAGCGCGCGCAGGCGGAUAGGUCAGUCUGUCUUAAAAG